UGCCGGAUGGCCAAAUUGGUAAGGCUCCUGACUCUGGAUCAGGUAACUCUAGGUUCGAAUCCUAGUCCGGCAACCA
rnacentral:tRNA from 1 species